rnacentral:rRNA from 1 species
GACGAACGCUGGCGGCGUGCUUAACACAUGCAAGUCGAGCGGUAAGGCCUCUUCGGGGGUACACGAGCGGCGCACGGGUGAGUAACACGUGGGUGACCUGCCCUCAGCUCUGGGAUAAGCCUGGGAAACUGGGUCUAAUACCGGAUAUGACCACAUGUUGCAUGGUGUGUGGUGGAAAGUUUUUUCGGCUGGGGAUGGGCCCGCGGCCUAUCAGCUUGUUGGUGGGGUGAUGGCCUACCAAGGCGACGACGGGUAGCCGGCCUGAGAGGGCGACCGGCCACACUGGGACUGAGACACGGCCCAGACUCCUACGGGAGGCAGCAGUGGGGAAUAUUGCGCAAUGGGCGGAAGCCUGACGCAGCGACGCCGCGUGGGGGAUGACGGCCUUCGGGUUGUAAACCUCUUUCGACCGGGACGAAGCGUAAGUGACGGUACCGGUAGAAGAAGCACCGGCCAACUACGUG